rnacentral:rRNA from 1 species
UACGUAGGGGGCAAGCGUUGUCCGGAAUUAUUGGGCGUAAAGAGCUCGUAGGCGGUUUGUCGCGUCUGCUGUGAAAACCUAAGGCUCAACCUUGGGCUUGCAGUGGGUACGGGCAGACUAGAGUGCGGUAGGGGUGACUGGAAUUCCUGGUGUAGCGGUGGAAUGCGCAGAUAUCAGGAGGAACACCGGUGGCGAAGGCGGGUCUCUGGGCAGUAACUG